GACGAACGCUGGCGGCGUGCUUAACACAUGCAAGUCGAACGGAAAGGCCCUGCUUUUGUGGGGUGCUCGAGUGGCGAACGGGUGAGUAACACGUGAGUAGCCUGCCCUUGACUUUGGGAUAACUUCAGGAAACUGGGGCUAAUACCGGAUAGGAGCUCCUGCUGCAUGGUGGGGGUUGGAAAGUUUCGGCGGUUGGGGAUGGACUCGCGGCUUAUCAGCUUGUUGGUGGGGUAGUGGCUUACCAAGGCUUUGACGGGUAGCCGGCCUGAGAGGGUGACCGGCCACAUUGGGACUGAGAUACGGCCCAGACUCCUACGGGAGGUAGCAGUGGGGAAUAUUGCACAAUGGGCGGAAGCCUGAUGCAGCAACGCCGCGUGCGGGAUGACGGCCUUCGGGUUGUAAACCGCUUUCGCCUGUGACGAAGCGUGAGUGACGGUAAUGGGUAAAGAAGCACCGGCUAACUACGUG
rnacentral:rRNA from 1 species